AACAAAGCGAAAGGAGGUGGUCCAGUGUCUAUAAAGGGAUUGGAGCGAGGUGCCGGGACAGUUCGGGAGGUUGCGACCUAGGGCAGACCCUGGGGAGAUGACCCCACGAAUUGGUGAGUCUAACCGGCCCACCUCCGCUAGCCUUUAGGGGGCCGUUCCGGGAUCGGAACGGCCC
rnacentral:sRNA from 1 species